CACUCCUGCGGGAGGCAGCAGUGGGGAAUUUUGGACAAUGGGCGAAAGCCUGAUCCAGCAAUGCCGCGUGCAGGAUGAAGGCCUUCGGGUUGUAAACUGCUUUUGUACGGAACGAAAAAGCUCCUUCUAAUACAGGGGGCCCAUGACGGUACCGUAAGAAUAAGCACCGGCUAACUACGUGCCAGCAGCCGCGGUAAUACGUAGGGUGCGAGCGUUAAUCGGAAUUACUGGGCGUAAAGCGUGCGCAGGCGGUUAUGUAAGACAGAUGUGAAAUCCCCGGGCUCAACCUGGGAACUGCAUUUGUGACUGCAUGGCUAGAGUACGGUAGAGGGGGAUGGAAUUCCGCGUGUAGCAGUGAAAUGCGUAGAUAUGCGGAGGAACACCGAUGGCGAAGGCAAUCCCCUGGACCUGUACUGACGCUCAUGCACGAAAGCGUGGGGAGCAAACAGGAUUAGAUACCCCGGUAGUCCCAU
rnacentral:rRNA from 1 species